GACGAACGCUGGCGGCGUGCUUAACACAUGCAAGUCGAACGGAAAGGCCCUGCUUUUGUGGGGUGCUCGAGUGGCGAACGGGUGAGUAACACGUGAGUAACCUGCCCGUGACUUUGGGAUAACUUCAGGAAACUGGGGCUAAUACCGGAUAGGAGCUCCUGCUGCAUGGUGGGGGCUGGAAGGUUUCGGCGGUUGGGGAUGGACGCGCGGCGUAUCAGCUUGUUGGUGGGGUAGUGGCUUACCAAGGCUUUGAAGGGUAGCCGGCCUGAGAGGGUGACCGGCCACAUUGGGACUGAGAUACGGCCCAGACUCCUACGGGAGGCAGUAGUGGGGAAUAUUGCACAAUGGGCGGAAGCCUGAUGCAGCAACGCCGCGUGCGGGAUGACGGCCUUCGGGUUGUAAACCGCUUUCGCCUGUGACGAAGCGUGAGUGACGGUAAUGGGUAAAGAAGCACCGGCUAACUACGUG
rnacentral:rRNA from 1 species